rnacentral:rRNA from 1 species
UACGUAGGCAGCAAGCGUUGUUCGGAGUUACUGGGCGUAAAGAGUGCGUAGGUGGUGCCCUAAGUCUGUUGUGAAAUCUCCCGGCUUAACUGGGAGGGUGCGGUGGAAACUGGGGUGCUUGAGUGUGGGAGAGGUAAGCGGAAGUUCCUGGUGUAGCGGUGAAAUGCGUAGAUAUCAGGAGGAACACCGGUGGUGUAGACGGCUUACUGGACCACGACUGACACUGAGGCACGAAAGCGUGGGUAGCAAACAGG